GCUCUUUGUCUGACGUCACUCUGCUGAACAGCAUGUGAAAAGGAGGGGUCAUAACAUUCUUCGUUAAGAACAGCCUGUGACAUGGUUUUCAGGACAGAAUCUUGCAAAUACUUCUGGGCACCAAGUAAAAUUCUAUGGUCUUGAGGGGCCAGCUGUUCUACAGGGCUUGGAUGUCAUGCUGCUUUAUUUUUAAAAGUGGUGGUGGUUUGGUUUUUUUUUUUAAGAAUUUUUCACUAGAGUUAGUUUUCACCCACUUUACAGAUGCCUUAAAAUAAUCUGGUGUUGAAAAUUCUUCCAACAGCUGCCAGCUGCCUAUGGGGUGAGGAAGCUGCUCCCUUGGGGGUGAAACAACACUCGCUGAACAAAUGUUUAAAACUGAGUCAACCAUUUCUCUAAGGAGUCCUGGUUCCUUUGGAUGAAUAAUAAUAUUUUGAAGCGAAGCCCUACAAAUGAGCUUCAACACACUGCAGUAACCAAGCCAGGGAAGGAGCCACUGGCAAGAAAUCCCUGAAAGAAGCCCCUGUGGCAUAUCCACUACAGCCUUCUCCCAGUUGUGCCUCCUUUUUGGGAGCCCUUUUCUCUGCAUACUGUAAGUAUGCCCUCCCCUGGGUUCUGUGGAGCUCCAACUUGCUUGAUGGGGUGGACUCUGAGGCAUUGGUUGGACUCUGAGGCAUUAUACUAAGUGAAAUAAAUCAGAGAAAGACAAAUACUGCAUGAUUUCACUUAUAUGUGGAAUCUAAAACAAACAAACAAACAAAAACCUGAACUCGUAAAUACAGAGAACAGAUUGGUGCUUGCCAGAGGUGGGGGCACAGGAGAUAGGGGGUGAUUUUACAAACUUACAGUUAGAAAAUAAGUAAAUCAUGGGGUGUCACAUGACUAUAGGUAAUACUACUGUACUGUAUAUUUGAAAGUUGCUGAGAGAAUAAAUCUUAAAACUUAGCGCAAGAGAGAAAAAAAAUUCUGCAGCUAUGGGUCAUGAUGGAUGUUAGCUAGACUUAAUGUGGCAAUCAUUUUGCAAUACAUACAGAUACUGAAUCAUUAUGUUGUACACCUGAAACUAAUAUAACAUUAUCUGUCAAUUAUAUCUCAAUUACAAAAAAAAACUUCUGUUUGCAUAAGUAUCACCCAGGUGCUUUUUUUAAAAUGCAGAUUCCCGGGCACUCCUGCCUCAACCAUUUAGGUUCAGUGGGUCCAGGGUGAGGCCCAGGAACAAGAGACUUCCCUGGUGUGAAUCCGAUGGCAGAGGAUUUUUGGUAAAAGGCCUUAAAAAGUAACUUUUGUCCUUUGCUUUUUUUACUUUACACAAUCCCCCUUCCCACUUGCUUGAAUUAUGCUAGAACUUUAAUUAUUACCCAUAUACAUAUAUAAAUACAUACAUACAUAUAUAUAUAUAUAUACACACACAUAUGUGUAUCUCCUUAAUCUUUCUCUUGAAUGCUAGGUUUAGAUUUCCAUCAGCCAGCAGAUAUUUCUACCUCGAUGUAUUGUAGAUACUUUUGAAACACUUUGAAAAUAUAAUUGUGAAAAGUUAUUUCCUCCCAUGACAUUUGAAAUUAAAGGCCACUCUUUGAGGCCCACUUAGGUAACAAAAGGCUGGUGUCAGCCAAAAUGUGGAAGCCACUCAGGGUGAAGAAAAAUUUGUUUCAGUUUCAUAUAAAGUUAAAAAAAAAGUGUUGCUAGUGGCUGAAUAAACUAUAACACUCCAGACCAGAAAACAAUUUGUUUCCAUAGUCUGUAAAUUUGGGACUAGCUCAUCUCUUCUGCUGAAGAUGUGAACAGAUACUCAAAUAUUUCAUCAUCAUUGAGUAAAUUAUUACCUUGUGUCCCUAAGACGAAGAUAGCUCUGAGGGCAGCAUUUGACAGCUGUAGGCAUUUGCUAUCUGUUGGUUGUUUCUCAAAUGGGAGUGGUGAAAAUUCCAACUUGAGUUAUUAUAUUCCCCUGAGGAUUCAAAUCUGUAGUCAUAAUCAGGUUCCUUUUGUUGUGAGGAGCAAAAACCCUCUCAGUUUAUCUAAAGAGUUGAAGUUUAUUGUAAGGUACAAUGCAACAUGAGGAAAAUAGGGAUGAUGACCCUCAAGGGAGAAAUGGACAUCUUCAGAACGCAGUGACAGCUCCAGGGACAACAGUGUUCACAUACGUGCUGUGUGCUUGCAUGGGCAGGAACCACUCUGAGUCCCGCCUGUGCUCACUCGUUUCGUUUUGCAGCAGCCUUAUAAGAAGCAGUAUCAUUGUCCCCACUUGACAAGGGGGAAACGGGCAGAGUGGUGAAGGAAUGCCUGCCAGUUGGUCUGGCUCCAGACCCUGUGUUUGUUCCCACUGUGCAAUGCAGCAGCCCUGCUGGGUGUCCCCUGGGACACCUUGUGGCCCAUGUCCCUGCAGUGGGGGCUUCGUGGCUUCCUGGUUGGGGUCUCUUGCUCUGGCUGCUGCCAGCUCACUCCGUGGCCUCUCCCUCGAGGUUUUCAUCUGCCCCCUUUGAGCGCAAUGUCACUGACGGUGUCACUGGCACGGCCCAGGGCAGCCUUGGUGCCCUCAGUGAGGUAUGCAACCAUGGCCUCAUCCGAGCAGAUAGAAAUGUACAGGCAUCACCACGGUGUGAGAAAGCAAGAGAGAAAAUGGCAAACCAGGGGACAGAAAAACAGUAAUAUCAAAUGAACUCUUUUUUUUAUGUGAAUAUUUUAUUAAGCAAGAGACAAACUGUCCGUGAACUGGGAGACUUCAAACCUGAAAUUGGUAUAUGCAGCUCAGAGGCAUGACAGGGUGGCUUAAAGUGAAAAUAGGGAACUUGUUUAAGCUUUAUGAUGACUGGUUAUUUCUUUUUUUUUUAUUAAGGUAUCAUUGAUAUACAAUCUUAUGAAGGUGCCACAUGAGCAACAUUGUGGUUACUACAUUCACCCAUAUUAUCAAAUCCCCCCCACGCACCCCAUUGCA